rnacentral:rRNA from 1 species
CAGUGGCGCGGUCUAACCAUGCAAGUCGAGCGGUAGAGAGAAGCUUGCUUCUCUUGAGAGCGGCGGACGGGUGAGUAAUGCCUAGGAAUCUGCCUGGUAGUGGGGGAUAACGUUCGGAAACGGACGCUAAUACCGCAUACGUCCUACGGGAGAAAGCAGGGGACCUUCGGGCCUUGCGCUAUCAGAUGAGCCUAGGUCGGAUUAGCUAGUUGGUGAGGUAAUGGCUCACCAAGGCGACGAUCCGUAACUGGUCUGAGAGGAUGAUCAGUCACACUGGAACUGAGACACGGUCCAGACUCCUACGGGAGGCAGCAGUGGGGAAUAUUGGACAAUGGGCGAAAGCCUGAUCCAGCCAUGCCGCGUGUGUGAAGAAGGUCUUCGGAUUGUAAAGCACUUUAAGUUGGGAGGAAGGGUUGUAGAUUAAUACUCUGCAAUUUUGACGUUACCGACAGAAUAAGCACCGGCUAACUCUGUGCCAGCAGCCGCGGUAAUACAGAGGGUGCAAGCGUUAAUCGGAAUUACUGGGCGUAAAGCGCGCGUAGGUGGUUUGUUAAGUUGGAUGUGAAAUCCCCGGGCUCAACCUGGGAACUGCAUUCAAAACUGACUGACUAGAGUAUGGUAGAGGGUGGUGGAAUUUCCUGUGUAGCGGUGAAAUGCGUAGAUAUAGGAAGGAACACCAGUGGCGAAGGCGACCACCUGGACUAAUACUGACACUGAGGUGCGAAAGCGUGGGGAGCAAACAGGAUUAGAUACCCUGGUAGUCCACGCCGUAAACGAUGU